rnacentral:sRNA from 1 species
CUACUGUGGAGGCGUGGAAAAAUACAUCUCGCAUGGAGGAGACGAGAAGGCAGCGGCGGCGACGCAAGCGCGAGUGCGAGUGUCAACCGCGUGACGGCGCGACGGCAACACUGCGCUCUCCCCGGCGGCGGCGCUCUCCCCUCCGCUGGCCACCUUCCCACCGGUGAGUAUCUCUUCAUUCCCCUCUCUUCUCCCUGUACUACCUAGGGUUUGGAACUUUGGAUCUUGGUUCUUGAAGCCUAGGGUUCUUGGUUCUCACCGGACCGUCUCCUACCUAGGAUUCUGUCGCCGCCUCCGUCGCCGUCCUCGCCGUCUUGGAGGUCGCCGUCAUAUCCGCCGUCCCCUCGAACUCCGCGGCUGAUGCCUGUUCUUUUUUGUUUUUUCGCAAAAUUCCUUUUCAUCUUUCGCUGCUUAAUUCUGCUUGUUAUGCGUAUGAAUCAGGAAUCCACAGAUUCUCUUUAAUGUCAACUAGUAUAGUUGGUUCCAAUCUUCAAGAAUCACCAUUUCUACUUGUAUGUUUCUCAGCAUGCUGAUGUUGUUAUUAGGGAGGUGAUUCUGUGACGGCUCAGUAGAACUCUAUUGUGCAUAUGUUCUUCUAUUUUGAUGAAUCACCAAUGAUUAUUUUGUGUGCCAUAAAACUCUAUUGACAAAUCACCAAUAAUACUUCCAAUGCUUUUUUCUUUGGUAAAAACCACAAAUGAAGGUCCCUUGGACUAAUUACCAUAUUACUUCAAUUUAUAAUAUAAAUGGAAUAUGCAUUAUUUGUUUUAUUAUAGUACUUUCCUUGGUUAUUUUUCUAUAGUUCAUCUUCAGGAAUGCUAGAUCUAUUGUUGCUGCGUAUGGGGUGAAAUAAAGGAAAUGCAAUGCAUUGCUGACUUUGUGGGGAAUGGGAGGAAGUCCUGAUGUUUUUUUUAUUAAGAUAAUAUAUGCAAAAUGUGUGCACUGAUAUUAUGUUAGACCCUUGCAUUUGAUUUCUCUAGACUCCUACAGAACUUAUAUUAUUGCUAGUGUCAGAAUUUGAAAAGCCACGCAAUAUAAAAAAUGCACAUAAAAAUUUCUUUGUACAUGUACAGGUAAUCUAGGAGCCAACCAUAUGCUCAUAUAGACCGUGUUUAGUUCCACUCAAACUUCCUCUCAACUCCCAACUUUCCAUAACAUCACAUCACAUCCAAAACUUUCCUACACACAUAAACUCCUAACUUUUUUUCCAAACUACCAACUUUCCCCAAACUUCUCCCCAAUUUCAGGAACUAAACACAGCCCUAAUUGACCUGCUAGUAAUUUGCUUUAAAAUUGGUACAACUAUAUGAACUGGAAACUUUAGUAGUACUAUAUACUGCUCUAACUAUUACUGGUUUUUAGACCUAUAUAUGUGCACGCUCCAUAUCCAUAUGUACUCUCAUUGUUUCUUGAUAUACUAGUUAGGAGGACGAUUACAGGCACAUAUGAUUCUUUCCCCCAAUUCAGAAGUACUUGAUAUUGUCCUAUUCAUAUGCAUGCUCUUGUAUUAGAACUUUAGGAGCAGGAAAAGAAAAGGCAAGUCACUGUUUUAUUUUUGUUAGCCAUCCAACUUACAGUCAGCAAAUAUUUCCUAUGUCAUUUUUUUGUCUUAAUGUUAUUCUAUUUCCUACAUGUGAACUUUUCAAUAGUAUAGUAUUGAUUUGAUAUAUGCAUCAAUGUUCUUGGCCAUCAGCAAUUAAGCAAGUAUAUUUUUUUCUGAUUUUUUAUCAUCAAUCACAC